UUUUUCUUUUUUCUUUUUUUUUUUUCCCCCAAAAAGAGGUAAUUUUCUCAGUAUGAAGCUUUUCUGUGUUCUUUGUCCUUUGGGAGACAAAAUAAUUUGAAAGACUUGGCAGAAUUAGUAAUAUUCUUCAACUUGUAAUUGUCUAACAUCUUAGUGUUCUAGAUGGAAAAUCAAUACAUUAUGAUGUGCCCUAAGCUAAAUUAGUAUAAUGUUAACGUGGUGGUUUGAAACUGUUUGAAAUGCCUGUUUGAAAUCCUGCAUAUCUACAUCUAGUGAUUCAGAAGCUUGCAGCAGAGGGUGGUUGGGUGCUCUGUCUCCCUGGAUAAAUCUGUCUCUUCCUGGCUCUUUGCUGUUUUCACUCUGUCAGGCAGGGAAAAACUUUUGCUGGGACUCAUUUUCCUUCAGUAACCCAGAGCUUUUCAAAGAAUUCUGAAGGAGACAAGAAAACACCAUGCAUUGAUUAACAGACCACAUUUACAAUACCUUUUUAAAAUAAUAUUUAGCAGUUUCUCCUGUAAUAUAAAUUCUUUCAAAAAUAAUGCUCAGUACAGGAUGGGGCAUUGGGCCAGACAGUUCAGGCACUAUUUUAUUACCAUAACAAUUCCCUGCAUCUGACAUACUCUCCAUGACAGCAUCCAUGUUAUCCACUGUACAAUUUUGCACAACAGAAUUUACACCCUAGACCAAAACUUUGAAUUGGACUAUAUAUAUAAGAUACUAUAAAUAAAACACUGUCACAUCUUUUUAAAAUUUAAAAUAUGAAGAGCAGCAUAGCAGGGGAGUUUUGAAUGUAAUUAGCACUAAUGCAGGUCUCUUUGAAAUCAAGAAAUCUGUUUUCUUAUAGUUCUGUUUCAUCUCUGUUUGUGUUCUUAGACUUUUAUAGAAUGCAGCAAAUGAAGCCCAUGUCAUGCUUUAUAUCAUUUUCCCACUGCCAUCAGGAAGUACAGUUUUCGUAUAGGCUUGUGGACCCUCUGUUGGAUAUGAAAUGUGCUGAGGGCUAAAAAAUCACUGGUUUUCUAGGCUUCUGUGCAGCUUUCCCUGUAGACAGCAGGUACUGUUUGGUUUUGUGCAAUAUGCUAUAGUAUCUUGCAGUAAGAAGAACAAUUAAUUUCCUCAGAAAUCAUGGCCAUGCACCCAAAGUGAAGACUUUUGACAUUCCAUAAUAGGUGUUAUGUAUAGUGGGUGUCAAGAGUUGCCUAGAUAUGCUGAUAAUGAGCCGUACUUUUGAGGAGUCAUAAUCAAUCAUUCUUCAUUUAGAAAGUCAGAUCCAUCAGCCUGUCAUCAAAAUGUCAUAACCCAUUGAUCUCACAUUGCAAUCAAAGAAUCUUGACUCUUAUUGAUGGCAUUCAGUUAUGCCAGGAACAUCAGCAAUCAUUUUAUCUUUUAAGAUAAUUUUAUCAUUUUAGUGGUAUCAUUUAAAACACUGAACUUGGUGACUAAAUCCAUUCAUCCUUUCCUUAAUCCCCAUUAAUAGUUACUACCAACCCCAAUAGUUACUACCCACAUAGCUAUUUUAAAACUUCAAAUUAUUUUAGAUCUAAUAUUAUCUGUGUAUGGAAAUAAAUAAGAAUAAACAUCUGGGAGUCAGAAAGACCUGAGCAGAUUGGAUUCCCUUCUGGGGGUCAUUCUACCUCUGCUCUCAUAGUUGGUGAUGUCAACACAAUCUUUUAAAGAAGUUACUUCCUGUUAUCUCAGUGCUGCCCAUCUGUUAUUCCUGUAUCUCCCGAUGACAUGUCACCAGUGGUAGUGACAAUUUCUUAUCCACUGCUGUCAGAAAAAGAAUAGCUUAGGAGCUUGGAAACAAAUUUCAAACUAAAAGUUGCUUUGAAGUUUGAUCUGCUAUUCAGUGAAGCACAGUGUAGAAGAAAUAGUAAACAUGUCAAGAUAAAGGAAGGAAAAAAGGGAGUGAGAGCAGCGGAGCAGGAUAGAGAUGAGCUGCAU
ensembl:lncRNA